rnacentral:rRNA from 1 species
AACGCGAAGAACCUUACCAAGUCUUGACAUCCCCCUGACCGGAACUUAACCGUUCCUUUCCUUCGGGACAGGGGAGACAGGUGGUGCAUGGUUGUCGUCAGCUCGUGUCGUGAGAUGUUGGGUUAAGUCCCGCAACGAGCGCAACCCUUAUCCUUAGUAGCCAGCACAUGAUGGUGGGCACUCUAGGGAGACUGCCAGGGAUAACCUGGAGGAAGGUGGGGAUGACGUCAAAUCAUCAUGCCCCUUAUGAUUUGGGCUACACACGUGCUACAAUGGCGUAAACAAAGGGAAGCGACCCCGCGAGGGUAAGCAAAUCUCAAAAAUAACGUCUCAGUUCGGAUUGCAGGCUGCAACUCGCCUGCAUGAAGCUGGAAUCGCUAGUAAUCGCGAAUCAGAAUGUCGCGGUGAAUACGUUCCCGGGUCUUGUACACACCG